UACGUAGGGGGCAAGCGUUGUCCGGAUUUACUGGGCGUAAAGAGCGUGUAGGCGGCCACGCAGGUCCGUUGUGAAAACUGGAGGCUCAACCUCCAGCUGUCGACGGAAACCGUGUGGCUAGAGUCCGGAAGAGGCAAGUGGAAUUCCCGGUGUAGCGGUGAAAUGCGCAGAUAUCGGGAGGAACACCAAUGGCGAAGGCAGCUUGCUGGGACGGUACUGACGCUGAGACGCGAAAGCGUGGGGAGCAAACAGG
rnacentral:rRNA from 1 species